AUUCAAUACUAGUCAAUGAUCACACUUGAGUGCUCUUGGAUGCCUGCAUAGUUCAGCAACAUGAAACAAAAACAAAGAAUACCCUAGGUUCAACAUUGGCUUCAAAGGGAGGAGUACUUGUCUUCCUCUGGUUUGUUUACACCACUUCUCUGGAUGGAACUGAGACAGAACAGCUGCUCUGGAUAAAUUGCUUUAGCUUUCUGGCAGAAUUCCACAGUGCUUUACAGCAACAGAAUGUCAAGGAGCUGUAUUUCCAAUCCUGAGCUGCACUUCUGUGCACACACUUCUGUGUCGUGGUGAAAUUCAGAACUGACCCAUGAACUUUUCCAGGAUAACUGCUUGUUUGACCUUCAGCAAAGGGUUGGAGAAGCUUGGUUCUUCUUCCUGUGAGCAAGUCUUGCACAGUUGCCCCAGUGCUGAUGGGCAGCAACCUGCACUGCCACCUCAUCUCUAAAUAAAUAACGUGACUGCACUUCAGUGUUAAUGGGCAAUGUCCAGGGGUACAACAAGGCAAGAGACAAGGAACAAAGGAAAACGUGGAGGGAAGCAGAAGUUGUCCGAUCUCAACAUCUUGCAGGAGCACAGAACUGGUCAAGAACUUGGGAGAGGAGCAGGGACAGAGAAGCCAGGUUGUCAGGGGAGGCAGGCUGGAUAUGGGGAUGGAGCACAUGAGUUUGCAGCUACUGACAUUCCAGUUCCCACUGCCUCGACCUGAACUGGUAACUUGACCUGAGCGCUGCACCUCUUCCUGUUUGCAUGGUCAGAGAGAGGUUCGUGUGUUGGAAACAGGUUCCCUCUUACAGGACACAAAAUCCAGAUUUUUCUGGCAGACUAGAAAAUAUAAAUAUUUCUCAUUUUAGCUGCAAAGAACAAAGAAGAGAUAUUUGAAAAGCAAAUCUAGCCAAAUCCCAGUUGAUUUGGAUUUACUGUACAAGGAUUUACAUAAUUUUUGAGGAAAUAUUACUUUUGAAAGCCAUGAUUUAUAACUCAAAAAAUGGAAUGCAGAUUGAUUAUUUAAAUACAACUCAGAGAAGCAAUUUGAUCACGGAACAGGAUUUCAAAAUUGCAGUUUUUAAUUCAAAGACAGGCUCUCAAAAUCAACAGCACUGGGUGCUAUAUGUGAUUAAUAUUUACUUUAAAAUAUCAUCCAUUUUUCUUGCAGAUUUGAGAUUGAUCCACUAAGGAUAGAAUACACUAUGAAUAGGAGUGUAAAAUUUAGAUCUGGGUCUAAACUAAGAUUAGAUGUGUUUAGACCUGAGUUUUGAUGUAGUUCCUUACAGAAAUAACACUCAGUUGAAAAGCUGUAAUUUGAAUGUGCCAGAUUUUGAUGACAUUUAUAGUCAGACAAGUUUCUUCGUGACAUAAAUAUUUCAGGACUAAAGGACCUGUGUAAACUUAGAUAUAUGUCUAUAUGCAACAUACUUCCCAAAAUAUUUGCGAGUUGCAUCACUUCAUUAGCUUAAAAAGAAUCUUGUAGUCUUGAGUUCUGUCCAUAGAAUUUAUCAUUGGUUUACUCAGGAAACGUAAAGGAUCCACUUAGGGAUCACAGCACCAAAUUUCAAAAUAUAAGUGAAUCAGAAUUACAAAAUGUAUCUUAGUUUUAUAUUUUCUUAAGGAUUUUAUUUCUGUAACACCUUCAGAAAUCUCAGAUACUCUUUUACUCGCUGUUCAACAGAUAAUGCUUUAGGGAUUAAAAUAUCUGACACAAAAUGCAUUUAAAUGACUGUAUCGUGUUUUUACCCCAUAUUUAAAUGACAGUCCUGCAAAAAAAAAAAAAAAACCAGUUAAAAUAGUCACCUCAACAUUUUGCAGAA